CGCGUAGGUGGUUUGUUAAGUUGGAUGUGAAAGCCCCGGGCUCAACCUGGGAACUGCAUCCAAAACUGGCAAGCUAGAGUAUGGUAGAGGGUGGUGGAAUUUCCUGUGUAGCGGUGAAAUGCGUAGAUAUAGGAAGGAACACCAGUGGCGAAGGCGACCACCUGGACUGAUACUGACACUGAGGUGCGAAAGCGUGGGGAGCAAACA
rnacentral:rRNA from 1 species